rnacentral:rRNA from 1 species
GACGAACGCUGGCGGCGUGCCUAAUACAUGCAAGUAGAACGCUGAAGGAGGAGCUUGCUUCUCUGGAUGAGUUGCGAACGGGUGAGUAACGCGUAGGUAACCUGCCUGGUAGCGGGGGAUAACUAUUGGAAACGAUAGCUAAUACCGCAUAAGAGUAGAUGUUGCAUGACAUUUGCUUAAAAGGUGCAAUUGCAUCACUACCAGAUGGACCUGCGUUGUAUUAGCUAGUUGGUGAGGUAACGGCUCACCAAGGCAACGAUACAUAGCCGACCUGAGAGGGUGAUCGGCCACACUGGGACUGAGACACGGCCCAGACCACUACGGGAGGCAGCAGUAGGGAAUCUUCGGCAAUGGACGGAAGUCUGACCGAGCAACGCCGCGUGAGUGAAGAAGGUUUUCGGAUCGUAAAGCUCUGUUGUAAGAGAAGAACGAGUGUGAGAGUGGAAAGUUCACACUGUGACGGUAUCUUACCAGAAAGGGACGGCUAACUACGUG